AUACGGAGGGUGCGAGCGUUAAUCGGAAUUACUGGGCGUAAAGGGCGCGUAGGCGGUUAAAUCAGUCAGAUGUGAAAGCCCCGGGCUUAACCUGGGAAUGGCAUUUGAUACUGUUUAGCUAGAGUUUGGUAGAGGGGAGUGGAAUUUCCGGUGUAGCGGUGAAAUGCGUAGAGAUCGGAAGGAACAUCAGUGGCGAAGGCGGCUCUCUGGACCAAAACUGACGCUGAGGUGCGAAAGCGUGGGUAGCAAACAGGAUUAGAAACCCGAGUAGUCC
rnacentral:rRNA from 1 species